GCUCCCCGGGGCCGCUGCGCUGGCCGGCGCUGGCCACUAGGUGCCGCUGCAGCAAUAGGUUUCCGUCCGUGCGCUGAGGGGCCCGGGCGCUCGGCUUAACGAUUCAAAUGUAUUCCUGCUAAUUUGUGUUUGAUAAAGGCUGAACAGGCCCAGUUCUCAUCUUUGUAACCCUCUGCUGGACUCAUUCAGGAAGCUCCAUGUGUCUCUUGUACUGAGGAGCCCAGAAGUGGACACAGCACUCCAGAUGUGGCCUCAUCAGUAGAGGGGCAGGUCUACCUCACUUGACCUGCUGAGAAUGCUGUUUCUAAUGCACCUGAGGUAUUCACUGUCCCCCUUUGCCACAAGGGCAUAUUGCUGGUUCAUGGACAAAUUUGAAGUUCAGAAUGUGCAUGAUCAGUGGAAGCAGUGUUGAUAUUCAUUCUCCAGAAUUUGCAUUACCUUCCUUUUUUGUUAUGAGAAGUACUUCUGACUAAUAAAGUCCUCUGUAGUUUAAACCUUC